UUAAAUUGAAGAGUUUGAUCAUGGCUCAGAUUGAACGCUGGCGGCAGGCCUAACACAUGCAAGUCGAACGGUAACAGGAAGAAGCUUGCUUCUUUGCUGACGAGUGGCGGACGGGUGAGUAAUGUCUGGGAAACUGCCUGAUGGAGGGGGAUAACUACUGGAAACGGUAGCUAAUACCGCAUAACGUCGCAAGACCAAAGAGGGGGACCUUCGGGCCUCUUGCCAUCGGAUGUGCCCAGAUGGGAUUAGCUUGUUGGUGGGGUAACGGCUCACCAAGGCGACGAUCCCUAGCUGGUCUGAGAGGAUGACCAGCCACACUGGAACUGAGACACGGUCCAGACUCCUACGGGAGGCAGCAGUGGGGAAUAUUGCACAAUGGGCGCAAGCCUGAUGCAGCCAUGCCGCGUGUAUGAAGAAGGCCUUCGGGUUGUAAAGUACUUUCAGCGGGGAGGAAGGGAGUAAAGUUAAUACCUUUGCUCAUUGACGUUACCCGCAGAAGAAGCACCGGCUAACUCCGUGCCAGCAGCCGCGGUAAUACGGAGGGUGCAAGCGUUAAUCGGAAUUACUGGGCGUAAAGCGCACGCAGGCGGUUUGUUAAGUCAGAUGUGAAAUCCCCGGGCUCAACCUGGGAACUGCAUCUGAUACUGGCAAGCUUGAGUCUCGUAGAGGGGGGUAGAAUUCCAGGUGUAGCGGUGAAAUGCGUAGAGAUCUGGAGGAAUACCGGUGGCGAAGGCGGCCCCCUGGACGAAGACUGACGCUCAGGUGCGAAAGCGUGGGGAGCAAACAGGAUUAGAUACCCUGGUAGUCCACGCCGUAAACGAUGUCGACUUGGAGGUUGUGCCCUUGAGGCGUGGCUUCCGGAGCUAACGCGUUAAGUCGACCGCCUGGGGAGUACGGCCGCAAGGUUAAAACUCAAAUGAAUUGACGGGGGCCCGCACAAGCGGUGGAGCAUGUGGUUUAAUUCGAUGCAACGCGAAGAACCUUACCUGGUCUUGACAUCCACAGAACUUGUAGAGAUACGAGGGUGCCUUCGGGAACUGUGAGACAGGUGCUGCAUGGCUGUCGUCAGCUCGUGUUGUGAAAUGUUGGGUUAAGUCCCGCAACGAGCGCAACCCUUAUCCUUUGUUGCCAGCGGUCCGGCCGGGAACUCAAAGGAGACUGCCAGUGAUAAACUGGAGGAAGGUGGGGAUGACGUCAAGUCAUCAUGGCCCUUACGACCAGGGCUACACACGUGCUACAAUGGCGCAUACAAAGAGAAGCGACCUCGCGAGAGCAAGCGGACCUCAUAAAGUGCGUCGUAGUCCGGAUUGGAGUCUGCAACUCGACUCCAUGAAGUCGGAAUCGCUAGUAAUCGUGGAUCAGAAUGCCACGGUGAAUACGUUCCCGGGCCUUGUACACACCGCCCGUCACACCAUGGGAGUGGGUUGCAAAAGAAGUAGGUAGCUUAACCUUCGGGAGGGCGCUUACCACUUUGUGAUUCAUGACUGGGGUGAAGUCGUAACAAGGUAACCGUAGGGGAACCUGCGGUUGGAUCACCUCCUUACCUUAAAGAAGC
rnacentral:rRNA from 1 species